rnacentral:rRNA from 1 species
GAAGGUAGCGUAAUCAUUUGUCUUUUAAAUAGAGACCUGUAUGAAUGGCAUAACGAGGGUUUAACUGUCUCCCUCCCCUAGUCAAUGAAAUUGAUCUGCCCGUGCAGAAGCGGACAUAAAUACAUAAGACGAGAAGACCCUAUGGAGCUUUAGACAAAAGAUCAAACAUGUAAAGAAACCUAACUAACCAAAAGGAACACAAAGGCCACAAAACCCGACGUAAAAUGAUCCAAAUGUCUUCGGUUGGGGCGACCAUGGGGGAAAGAAAAACCCCCACGAGGAACCAGGGGCAAUCCAUUAAGCCAAGAGAUACACCUCUAAGCAACAGAAAAUCUGACCAAAAAUGACCCAGGACACUAAUCCUGAUCAACGAACCAAGUUACCCUAGGGAUAACAGCGCAAUCCUUUCCCAGAGUCCAUAUCGACGAAAGGGUUUACGACCUCGAUGUUGGAUCAGGACAUCCUAAUGGUGCAGCCGCUAUUAAGGGUUCGUUUGUUC